AUCAAUUAGUCUAAAACGACCAAGCUUAUAUUUGCUUGAUUCACUUCUAAAAGAGAUAGAAUGCCGAAAGCAAAAUUUAAACGGAAAGGGGUUCCGGAACUUUCAGUUCAGAGUAAAAAAUCCAAAUAUUCGGAAAUCACAAACCUUGAUUCCUCCCUCACAGAAAAAACUUUAGAAAUUCCUGAGGAUGUUGCGGGGUUUCCAGUUUCUCUAGGUAUUCCUUGCAGCACACCAGUCUCCGAAGUACCAGGAGCAACAUCCUACCGAACCCUUUUGGAUCUCCCUGAGGAAUUGAUCUGCCUAAUCCUGGUUAGAUUACCUGUAUCAUCUAUAUCUAACCUGGAGAUAACCUGCAAACAUCUACAGCGAGUUCUAGUCAAUGCCAGGAUCUGGAGAAAGAUACUUUUACACAAACUUGAGUUUGAACCCGGACUCCGUAAACUCCUUCCUCCCAGCUAUUCAACUAAAAUGGAGAAUAGACUAGACUUAGAUCAUAAAAGUUGCAAGAAACUGUUGGAAAACCUGAAACUGAGGGUGGACUAUGCCUGGCUGAACACUAACGCCCCAACAGUUAUCAGGUCUGACAAGGUAUUCGGGCAAACCUUGGAGAACCACGUUCUUUGCCAGAUCAUGACCUCGGGCAGAUAUUUCGCCGCCUUCUACGGAACCAUCUGCAAGAGCAAGGAGAAUUAUGAGAUUGAUAUUAUUGAUAUAUUUGACCGGAGCAGCAGGAGGCGGGUGCGCCGGUUAGACAGUAUGCCGGCUAAACCUGAUAUAUUGAGGAUAGUUGAGGAGCUGGGUGUAUUCCUUCUCUCUUACCCAGGACUACUCAGUCUAGAGAUUAAUCGGUUAGGUCAGGAAGAAUCCAAGUUUCUAGUUCUGUGUAAACCCGGAGAAACUGAAUCUGGGAGUGUUUGUGAUAUUGUAGUUCGAGAUUAUAUAACUAUCCGGGGUGUUUUACACAGACGAGCAAUAAUGGUUGCCAUGAACACCGAACCCUUGGGAAACCCUCAUUAUCAUAUCGGAGAACUACAGUUCUACUCUCUGUCGGAGCAGGGAGAGGUUGGGUCUACUCCGCUCUGCAGUCUCCGGUUCAAUCCGGUUCCAAUCAAGGAGGGAAGGUUCUUCAAUCAGUGCAUUCAAAAGAAAGGCCUGUCUGACUUUAACGACGACCAUGCUGUAGUGGUUGUAGGAGGCUGUGAGGGGAGUGCUGUUCUAGGUGUAGUAAAUCUUCAGGAGGAAAGGUUGGUUCAUAAGCUCCAACUGAAGAGCCCAGGUAGAGUAGGAGGUGGAGCUGGUGGUUGUGAAGGUGGACUCUGUCAGUACAGUGUUGUCAGUUUAAUGAUAGAUCGGAUACACACGGAUACAUGCUCUAUACUACUCUCUACAGGACAGCUUAUAGUUAUCCAUCUAGUCAGUGGAACUACAAUCUUUCACAGACAUCUUCAGUUUGACGGUCAGCUUAAACUAGCCUUGCAUCAGCCUGGCCUCCUUGGUAAACAGAGAAUAGGAAUCAAAUUCAGAAAUUAUGUUACUUUCUACGAUCUCAUUCUUUCAGCAAGGAGUAGUGAAAUAGAUCUGAAACAUAUUCGAACACUGAGGAUCACGAGUAUAGACGCGGACGGACGAGAGACAAGGUUGGAUGAUAAUCCAUCCCAGGAGCUGAGAAGACAGUUUGGAGAACUACAGAAGAGAGUUAGAGCUCUAAACCAGUACACCAGCGGAAUUCAGAAGAAGCUGGAUAAAGGUCUGCGUCCUGGUACAGUGACGCAGGGCGUACACUCUAUGACGCAAAAGGUUCAUCUCGUAACCAGUAAGCUAGACCAGGCCCACGGGAAAGCCAGGGAGAUUGAGGCGGUUGUAAUCGCAAGCAUAGCUUUCGAUAACCGGUUUUGCCACGCUCUAACUCUUAACAGGGAUCUUGUAUCUUUCGAUUUGGAAGGCACCAUGAACGUAUCAGAAAAUGGUAGUAAACUUAAGGAUUUGAAAGGAAAACAUAAUAAAAGUUUGGACGACGAUGCACCAAGCCGGAGUACACGGAAAACGCGAGAAAAAGACGAAGAACCGGUUCCUGGAUCCUCCAGGCAGAACCGUAGGAGAUAAUCUUCACUCUCUGAAUCCCUGGAUCCGUAGCACAAUUCAACAUAAAAUAAAAUUUUUAAAUCAGAAAUUAAAUUGAGUGUAUUGACUCAUGAUCAAAUGAUGUGCCGUGGCCUAAUGGCGGUUUUGGGCUACUUUCAGAUAAAAACUUUUUAACAAAUUUAUUUUAUAAAAUCUGAUAAUUUUUCCAAGUUUUACAUCAGAUGAGUUUAUUUUUUAUUUUUCAGUUGCUCAUGCUCAGACAAACCAAACCAGCGAAUUUUGACAAAUAAUUCAUAUUUAUAAAAACUAUUGUUUUUGAUAAUUUUAAUUUACUCGUCCCCGGUUACGUUUUCAAUAUUUCCCUUGACGUUUUUUUUAAAAAUAAGAACCGACUCUGAAAACAUUUUUUAUGUUGCAUAACAGUUUUUCAAAGCAAGGACUGUAAACUUUAAUUCUUCCCACUCUUGAAUUGUAACAGAGUACCAUCAAUGAACCGUGGCAGCAAUCUUUAAACCAUUAAUUAUCAAAGUAACUUCGAUGGAAAUAUUUUCGUUGUUUUAUGAAUAACCUUGCUUAGCAGCUAAUGAAUAAAGUAAAAAUAGAAAUGCAUAAAAUGGUUAGAUACUUUUGUUCUAAUUCUCCGCCAUUGUUACUAAAAUUGUUGGUUUAAAGUUGUGGUAUCUCUGUGUUGCAGACUGCAGAGUCAUUUUUAAAGCGAAGGAUUAUUAAAUUUAAAGCGUAUUUAUUAAAGCACUUGAAGCUUGGAAAUUGUUGCUGUUUUAAAAGAUCUCGCCUUGACAUCUUACAGCUGACGCCCGAUGUACAUUUACAAUAUUUGUUGCCCUAAAACGCAUGUGGGAGUUUGAGCCUGGAAUCUAUUUGUUGAAUUAUGAUAACAUUUUGAUUGUUAAUAUUUAUUAAAUAAGGCAUUUAUCAAU
rnacentral:misc_RNA from 1 species